rnacentral:rRNA from 1 species
AGGGGAGUGGCAGACGGGUGAGUAACACGUGGGAAUCUUCCUGUUGGUUCGGAAUAGCUCAGGGAAACUUGGGGUAAUACCGGAUAAGCCCGAGAGGGGAAAGAUUUAUCGCCGACAGAUGAGCCCGCGUCUGAUUAGCUAGUUGGUGAGGUAACGGCUCACCAAGGCGACGAUCAGUAGCUGGUCUGAGAGGAUGACCAGCCACACUGGGACUGAGACACGGCCCAGACUCCUACGGGAGGCAGCAGUGGGGAAUAUUGGACAAUGGGCGCAAGCCUGAUCCAGCCAUGCCGCGUGAGUGACGAAGGUCUUCGGAUUGUAAAGCUCUUUUGCCAGGGACGAUAAUGACGGUACCUGGAGAAUAAGCCCCGGCUAACUUCGUGCCAGCAGCCGCGGUAAUACGAAGGGGGCUAGCGUUGUUCGGAAUUACUGGGCGUAAAGCGCACGUAG